UGCUGAGCCUUCAUUUCUAGGGUUAGAUUCGUUUAUCCCAUCUCUCUCCUCUCACCUGCCUCCUCCCGUCUCUCUCCCCAUCUCACUUUUCUCUCUCCUCUCACGUUCCUAGGAUACACUUCCUCGCCGUCGUCCCUCAUCAAUGGCGUCUGUCAUCUCUCCUUCGAUCUUCUUCCUCUCCUUCAAUUCGAGCAGGUUUUCAGAUUUAAGUGUUGUCAAUCUUCCGAUGCUGAGAAAAGCUUCAAAUCAAACAAUCGGAAGGUGAGAAGAAGAAGAAAAAGAUGACGUUUGGGUUUUCCGGAGAUGUGUUCUACGGCGGAGGCGGUGCAAGGACCGGCGGAGGGAGGGCAGGGAUGGCGAGUGUUCGACAACAACAGCUUCAAAUCAAACAUCAGCAAUAAUCCCGAGUGUAUUAUUAAGACGGUGUUAUGGAGAUUUGGAGAAUGAGCCAAAGCCUUCUGCUGCUGUGGAAGGGACACAAAAUUCCAAAUUGGGCGUAGUAUGGAUAGCUUAUGCAAGCUUCUCUAACAGCUCUGUUGAAUCUCUAUUAUACUUUAUCUCUAUUAAACUUUAGCCUGCUCAUAGAACUGUUUUAUUGUAACAUGAUCCAAAACCUCCUCUAAUAGUAGAAAACUCAUAGUACCCUUGCAUACUGUGAAAUGUAUAGGAACUACCAUCGCAGCAGUAUAAAACUAAUUGGUUUUGAAUGAUUUUUGAAUUGUGUUAUGUGGGUUGAUUGAUUGUUCAUCUUAUUUUUUCUAGGUUGGAGUUGGUGAUCGCCGGGGAAGAUCAUACAUGUAAACUCUCAAUGGGGACAAACUCUGGCAAGGUGGAGCCGAGUUGGGUGUCGUCGUCGGUGGAAAAGAUUGGAGAAAUUUGGAUGGUGGUGGUCCACGUAGCAGGGCCGGCGGUUUAAGUGUUUAUUUAGCUGGGCCGGAUGGGCGGGUCUUAGGAGGUGGUGUUGCCGGUGUUUUAAUAGCUGCGUCCCCAGUACAGAUUGAAAGUUUGCCACAAAUGGUUGAUGGUGUUUGUUCAGAUGACGGAAAUGCUCAACUUGAAGCUACUACUCAUUUCCGCAAGCUGCUUUCAAUAGGUAGCUAUCUGAUGUUCUCUAUAUGUAUUGGACUAUGGGAAUAUGUGUAUAAGCAUCUUACUUUGCGUAAAAGGUAGAGAAAUUCUUAUAAAUUCUUAUAUUGCCUUUUUAUAUCACUAUAUUACUAUAUUCUCCUG